AAGGUUUUAAGUUAAAUAAACUAGUAGCCUUCAAAGUUUCCAAUAGGGAUCUUCCCCUAAACCUUA
rnacentral:tRNA from 1 species